ACAGUUACAUAACUAUCAUAUCCAAUGUUAUCAUCCAGUUAAUGUUGUGUGUGAAAAAUGCAUACAGUCACAACUGAUAUGUUUCAGAUUCUCAACAGGAAGUGUUCUUCACACCAGUAACUGCCACAGAUACAGAAGGCAGUUGUGGAGCUAGCACAGGAAAACCUAAAGGGAAGCCUCCGGUAAAGAAAACAUCAAAUGAAGAAGACAUUCUGGGAGAAAUCAAAUCCCUUCAAGCACAGGAAGAAAGAAAGAUGUAUCUUUUGGAAGAAAUUCUGUCUGUGCAGCGGGACAUCCGGGACAUCCAAAGACAAAGGCUGGA